UAUUAUAUUCAGCUUCUCGAGGUUAUUCCCCAGAAUAGUCUAGGUUACCCACGUGUGACUGCAUCAGUAACACGUGGGUAACCUGCCCUAUGCAGGGGGAUAACCUCGGGAAACUGAGAAUAAUGAUCCAUAGUUCACUACGCCUGGAACGGUGAGUGGACGAAAGCUCCGGCGGCAUAGGAUGGGCCUGCGGCGUAUCAGGUUGUAGGGGGUGUAAUGGACCCCCUAGCCAUCGACGCGUACGGGUGUUGGGAGACAUAGCCCGGAGACGGAUUCUGAGACACGAAUCCGGACCCUACGGGGUGCAGCAGGCGCGAAAACUUCACACUGCAGGAAACUGUGAUGAGGGAACUCCAAGUGGAUGCACAUAGUGUAUCUCUUUUCUUUACUAUUAAUCGGUAUUGGAAUAAGGGCUGGGAAAGACCGGUGCCAGCCGCCGCGGUAAUACCGGCAGCUCGAGUGGUCGUCGCUUUUAUUGGGCCUAAAACGUCCGUAGCCGGUUUGGUAAAUCUGUGGGUAAAUCAACUAGCUUAACUAGUUGAAUUCUGCAGAGACUGCCAGACUAGGAACCGGGAGAGGUGUGGGGUACUCAAGGGGUAGGGGUAAAAUCCUGUCAUCCUGAGCGGACCACCUGUUGCGAAGGCGCCACACUAGAACGGAUCCGACGGUCAGGGACGAAGCCUAGGGGCACGAACCGGAUUAGAUACCCGGGUAGUCCUAGGUGUAAACGCUGUGGACUUGAUGUUGGGAGUGCUCCGAGCACCCUCAGUGUCGAAGCGAAGGUGAUAAGUCCACUGCCUGGGGAGUACGGUCGCAAGGCUGAAACUUAAAGGAAUUGGCGGGGGAGCACUGCAACGCGAGGAGCGUGCGGUUUAAUUGGAUUCAACGCCGGAAAACUCACCAUGGCCGACUGUUAGAUGAAGAUCAGCGUAAUGAGCUUAUCGGAUUUUCAGAGAGGUGGUGCAUGGCCGUCGUCAGUUCGUACUGUAAAGCGUUCUGUUAAGUCAGAUAACGAACGAGACCCUCAUCUCUAUUUGCUACCCUUCUCUCCGGAGGAGGCGCACUAUAGGGAGA
rnacentral:rRNA from 1 species